UACGGAGGGGGCUAGCGUUGUUCGGAAUUACUGGGCGUAAAGGGCGCGCAGGCGGCUGCUCAAGUCAGGCGUGAAAGGCCUGGGCUCAACCCGGGAAUUGCGCUUGAGACUGGGCUGGCUUGAGUGCGGGAGAGGUUGGUGGAAUUCCCAGUGUAGAGGUGAAAUCCGUAGAUAUUGGGAAGAACACCGGUGGCGAAGGCGGCCAUCUGGACCGCAACUGACGCUGAGGCGCGAAAGCGUGGGGAGCAAACAGG
rnacentral:rRNA from 1 species